GGGCCCACAUCUAACCAAAAUGUAUCGAAAGCUGAAAACCUACAGCUUUUGCUGAUUCAAGUCUAAAUGAAGGUCCUUGUCAAAGUCAGCUAACUAUGGAAUUCUCUAAGCCUGAAAUGUGAGCAAAUGAGGGUGGUGAGAUUAUAAAAUCCCAGUGAAUAAACAGACACCAUCUAAACUAUCCAAAGGCGAGUAAAUGGAGAAGAAUUAAAAUAUUCUUUUCCAAUAUAUGUUUCAUAACAUGAAUAUUCAGUUUACUCAAUUUAUUAACAUGGCUUAUAUAUCUCACAAAACUUGGCUCCUGCCAAAAAUCAUUCCCGGGGAUGCCUUGCCCUAAGCAUCUGACCGAGACCACCAAGGCUGUUAAAUGUCUUUACAUCCGAAAUUCUAGCCAUGCCUUGGCGUUGGCUGAGUCUCACUCUCACGCAAUGGUCCACGUGAAGUGCACUCAAAUCUUUACCUCUAGAGAAACCCUCCACACGGCUCUCUAAUCGAGUUUAGGUAUAUCUGAUUCUGUGCCCCCUCUUUUAGGCUGGUCCACAAAACCUCCACUGCAGGGAUUAUGGAUUAUUUUACCUACCACCUGAUUUAUAAAAUCUUUAUCUGCAUGACAUAGCAAUUUAUCGCAAUCUAGCCUGUCAAGGCUAAAUACAUAAUAUAUAUAAUUUUGAUAUAAAUACCGACUUUGCCAUUCAUGCUCACAUAUUACUAUAAGCCAUAUAAUUUAAAACACAAUUUAUAACACAAGUAGGCAGUCUCCAAUUACUCUAUUUUCAAAACCAGUAUUCAAUUUUCCAAAAAAUUUAUAAAAUCAUUUUAUAAAAUCACAAUUUCUCCUAAAACAUAACAAUUUUCCAUUUAAACCCAUUUUCUAUAAAAUCACACAAUUGUAUAAAACUACUCUAGAUAAUUAAGACGAUAAUAAUUUUACUCACAAUUCUAGGAGUCGAUGUACUCCUAAUCCCAAUCUUCAAGCAUAAUCUCUAUACUUUUACCAGUGUAAUUUGCUCACCACCUAUCCACAAUGUACAAUACAUAAUUCACCACAUUAAUGCUUGACCAUUAUAAAAUCAAUUUAGGCUCUGUGUAUAUGCAUGAUAUGAUAUGCAACUUAUACGACUACCGCUUAAAUGCGGUGCUGACCUAAUUCGGCCUAUUACCCGAUUAAAUGACAAUUGUGUCCGAUUUAGCUCCAAAUUACUCCAUUUCAUUUCUAAUAUUUCAAUUCACUAAAUACAAUUCCAAUAAUCUAAAAUUCAUCCUAACAACCCUCACAAUUCUUCUUGAAAAUUUCGGCCAUGGCGGUGCACUAUCACUAAAAAUUUUCCCAUUCCAUUUUCUCACCAUAAAUCAUCAUUUCAUCAAUUUUUCAACCAAAUCACUUGAUCAAAAAAUCAAUUCAUUACUUCUACACUUCACGUAGGGUUCGGCCAUUGAAGGUUCAUGGGAAAAUGGAUUCUUUUCUUGUUAUUUUGUUUCUAAACAUGCUUAACUAACUCUAAACACCAACAUAACUCAAAAUCAAACAAUUCCAACAUCAUUUCUCUCACCAAACCCAUUUCGCCAGCCAUGAUUUCCCCAUGAAAACAACAAUCCAACCAUGGAAAUUAAGGAGAAAUGCAUGGGUAAGGUAAAUCACUAGCAAAAUCAAAGAAAUUUUACCUUUGCUUGAUCAAAUCCUUGAAUUCCAACACUUUCUUUUUGAUUUUCCCCACCUAGGGUUUGUUCUUCCUUGGUUUCUCUUCUCUUCUGGUUUGG
rnacentral:lncRNA from 1 species